AUUUUGUUUUCAUUAAAAAUACAGAAGUGAAACAACACCUGCUUUUUUUCUGAAGUAAGUUUCUUUUAGGCAGCCCUUGAACAGGUUACAGUUCCUAACUGCAAAGCUUAACUAUAUCAAGUAAUUAUAGCAACAUAGAUUCAGCCAGGUGGGAAGGAUCUCAGGAGGACAUCUGCUGAAAGCAGAAGCAGCACUGAAUUCAGAGCAGGUUGCUGAGGGCUUUGUCCAAAUGGGUCUUGGAAACCUCCAGGGAUAGAGAUCCCACAUCCUCUCUGGGACACACGUUCCAGGGCUUAAUUAGCCUCACAGCAAUUUUAUUUUGUACUUAUAUUCAGGAUCUUUCUGUAGGAUCUUUCUGUUUCAAGUCGUGAGUGUCACCUCUCUUUUUUCUGCACUUCAGUGGGAGUUUGGAUCUUCUUGAUGACCUUUUCAUUAGGUAUGGACAGGCUGGAGUCCCCCGAAGUCUUGUCUUCAGGUUAAAAACCCCAGUCCCUCAGGCUGCUCUCACUGGUACGUUCUUAUACAGUUGUGUCUGUUCUCUCACACCUUCAGCAUCUUGAGCUGUUAAGCAUUUAAUUAAUUGAAUAUGCUAUUGUGUUUUUCCCAGAGUCAGAUUAUUUCUAGUAUUAUUUGUUACAAAUUUGAAUGUUUUUUCAAAGUGGUAACCAAACAAAUAGCUAUUAAAGAUUAGUCAUAGUCUGUCUGAAAUUACAUGAACCUAUAAUUAUAUUUUUAGUCAAUGGAAUCCAUUACGAUUGUGUGUUUAUCUCAAAAACGCUGAUGCAUACCUUUGUAUUUCAUGUGCUUUAAUCCUUAAAUUAUCAAAUCAUUUCUGUCUAGGGAAUUAUGUUACUUCGGGCUCCUUUCAUGUAUUAAUGUCGGGUACACAGAAAUGCAUGCUUCAUGGAGCAAGAUGAGAGUGUUGAACAUCCACCUUCUGGUACACGCAGCAGGGAUCUUCUCCUGCUUUAGUUGUGUGUUACACCAACCCUACGGUCAUCUUCAGAGGCAGCAGAUCACUUGCAAAGGUUUGCUGAAGGAUCCUCUCUAUUUUAAUGUCUGAGUUCUCCUCAGAACUGUGUGCAGUGUGAAAUGCCCCAGAGCUGCUGGCUGCAGGAAUCCCGAUGGGCCCCACUGGGGCUCCCUGCCACACUCUGCCCAGGAAGGGCCUCCUUUCCCAGGAGUAAUAGCAGCUGUGGGGAUUUUCUUCUGUCUUUGAAGGGCAAAAAUUUUGCCAUAGCAAAGCAUCAGUAGCCUUUACAGGAAAUGCCUAGCCUUUUAGCAUUUUGUUUCUGUUAAACAGACAAAAGAAUAUUGUUGAAAUCACUGAAUGUAAAAGGUCUUGAGAUUAAUUUGGUUGUGGAAGCUUGCAGAAUAUCCUUAUGCAGGGGCUUUUGCUCCCUACUUAAAUUGCCAGGGCAGGAGCUGUUUGCACUUUCAAGUGUAAAGAUUGCCCUGGGUGAUUUGAAGCUUCAGACAUAAAAUUUCUACAUAUUUAUUGCUAUAAUCUUCCAAAUGUGAGUUGAUGUAGCUCUGACUUUCUAAGCUUCAGCCUUCUACUGCAGAAAACUUUCCCAAUCAACAGAAGAUGGAAACUGCCAAUACUUCAGCAAGAUUUGUUACUGCCACGUGGAAGCCUGAAGGACAAAGUUGAUGCAAUGUGCAACCAUAAGUACGCAGAUGUUCAUGGGGAGACAAAAUAAUGUGGAUAUUUGGUGGCUAGGAGAGGAUUCUGAGCCUCAAGCAAUGUUUCAGUUGGAAAAGUUUGUCUGAUGGUUCAUUGACCCAGUAUCUGUACAACUUCAGUAGAUUUAUUAUUUGGAAUUCCUCAGUGGAGAUUUUAAUUAGACAUAUAUUCGUUUGCUAACUU
rnacentral:lncRNA from 1 species